rnacentral:rRNA from 1 species
AAUGAACGCUGGCGGCAGGCCUAACACAUGCAAGUCGAACGGAUCCUUCGGGAUUAGUGGCGGACGGGUGAGUAACACGUGGGAACGUGCCCUUUGGUUCGGAACAACUCAGGGAAACUUGAGCUAAUACCGGAUGUGCCCUUCGGGGGAAAGAUUUAUCGCCAUUGGAGCGGCCCGCGUCUGAUUAGCUAGUUGGUGAGGUAAAGGCUCACCAAGGCGACGAUCAGUAGCUGGUCUGAGAGGAUGAUCAGCCACAUUGGGACUGAGACACGGCCCAAACUCCUACGGGAGGCAGCAGUGGGGAAUCUUGCGCAAUGGGCGAAAGCCUGACGCAGCCAUGCCGCGUGAAUGAUGAAGGUCUUAGGAUUGUAAAAUUCUUUCACCGGGGACGAUAAUGACGGUACCCGGAGAAGAAGCCCCGGCUAACUUCGUGCCAGCCGCCGCCGUAA